UACGGAGGGUGCGAGCGUUGUUCGGAAUCACUGGGCGUAAAGGGCGUGUAGGCGGUCCGCUAAGUCUGAUGUGAAAGCUCGGGGCUCACCCCCGGAAGGGCAUUGGAAACUGACGGACUCGAGUCCCGAAGAGGAGGGUGGAAUUCCUGGUGUAGCGGUGAAAUGCGUAGAUAUCAGGAGGAACACCGGUGGCGAAGGCGGCCCUCUGGACGGUGACUGACGCUGAGGCGCGAAAGCGUGGGGAGCAAACAGG
rnacentral:rRNA from 1 species